GCCUUCGUGGUGUAGUGGUGAGCACGCUCGACGCUUAUUCGAGAGGUCCGUGGUUAAAGUCCCGGUGAGGGCA
rfam:Stegodyphus mimosarum contig7567, whole genome shotgun sequence.